GAUGAACGCUGGCGGCGUGCUUAACACAUGCAAGUCGAACGAUGAAGCCCAGCUUGCUGGGUGGAUUAGUGGCGAACGGGUGAGUAACACGUGAGUAACCUGCCCUUAACUCUGGGAUAAGCCUGGGAAACUGGGUCUAAUACCGGAUAGGAGCGCCUACCGCAUGGUGGGUGUUGGAAAGAUUUAUCGGUUUUGGAUGGACUCGCGGCCUAUCAGCUUGUUGGUGAGGGAAUGGCUCACCAAGGCGACGACUGGUAGCCGACCGGAGCGGGGGACCGGCGACACGGGAAGUGAGGCGCGGGCGAGACGCAUACGGGAGGCAGCAGUAGGGAAUGUUCCGCAAUGGGCGAAAGCAUGACGGAGCAACGGCGAGGGAGUGAUGAAGGUCUUCGGAUCGUAAAACUCUGUUAUUAGGGAAGAACAAAUGUGUAAGUAACUGUGCACGUCUUGACGGUACCUAAUCAGAAAGCCACGGCUAACUACGUG
rnacentral:rRNA from 1 species